AGAGUUUGAUCCUGGCUCAGGACGAACGCUGGCGGCGCGCCUAACACAUGCAAGUCGAACGAGCGAGAGAGAGCUUGCUUUCUCGAGCGAGUGGCGAACGGGUGAGUAACGCGUGAGGAACCUGCCUCAAAGAGGGGGACAACAGUUGGAAACGACUGCUAAUACCGCAUAAGCCCACAGGUCGGCAUCGACCAGAGGGAAAAGGAGCAAUCCGCUUUGAGAUGGCCUCGCGUCCGAUUAGCUAGUUGGUGAGGUAACGGCCCACCAAGGCGACGAUGCAUAGCCGGCCUGAGAGGGCGGACGGCCACAUUGGGACUGAGACACGGCCCAAACUCCUACGGGAGGCAGCAGUAGGGAAUUUUCGUCAAUGGGGGGAACCCUGAACGAGCAAUGCCGCGUGAGUGAAGAAGGUCUUCGGAUCGUAAAGCUCUGUUGUAAGAGAAAAACGACAUUCAUAGGGAAUGAUGAGUGAAUGAUGGUAUCUUACCAGAAAGUCACGGCUAACUACGUGCCAGCAGCCGCGGUAAUACGUAGGUGGCGAGCGUUAUCCGGAAUGAUUGGGCGUAAAGGGUGCGUAGGUGGCAGAACAAGUCUGGAGUAAAAGGUAUGGGCUCAACCCGUACUGGCUCUGGAAACUGUUCAGCUAGAGAACAGAAGAGGACGGCGGAACUCCAUGUGUAGCGGUAAAAUGCGUAGAUAUAUGGAAGAACACCGGUGGCGAAGGCGGCCGUCUGGUCUGUUGCUGACACUGAAGCACGAAAGCGUGGGGAGCAAAUAGGAUUAGAUACCCUAGUAGUCCACGCCGUAAACGAUGAGAACUAGGUGGUGGGGGAAAAACUCCGUGCCGCAGUUAACGCAAAUAAGUUCUCCGCCUGGGGAGUAUGCACGCAAGUGUGAAACUCAAAGGAAUUGACGGGGGCCCGCACAAGCGGUGGAGUAUGUGGUUUAAUUCGAAGCAACGCGAAGAACCUUACCAGGCCUUGACAUCCCUUGCAGAGGUAUAGAGAUAUAUCCGAGGUUAUCAAGGAGACAGGUGGUGCAUGGUUGUCGUCAGCUCGUGUCGUGAGAUGUUGGGUUAAGUCCCGCAACGAGCGCAACCCUUAUGGUCAGUUACUACGCAAGAGGACUCUGGCCAGACUGCCGUUGACAAAACGGAGGAAGGUGGGGAUGACGUCAAAUCAUCAUGCCCUUUAUGACUUGGGCUACACACGUACUACAAUGGCGUUAAACAAAGAGAAGCAAGACCGCGAGGUGGAGCAAAACUCAGAAACAACGUCCCAGUUCGGACUGCAGGCUGCAACUCGCCUGCACGAAGUCGGAAUUGCUAGUAAUCGCAGAUCAGCAUGCUGCGGUGAAUACGUUCCCGGGCCUUGUACUCACCGCCCGUCAA
rnacentral:rRNA from 1 species